CGCUAGCUACAGGCUUAACACAUGCAAGUCGAGGGGCAGCAUGGUCUUAGCUUGCUAAGGCCGAUGGCGACCGGCGCACGGGUGAGUAACACGUAUCCAACCUGCCGUCUACUCUUGGACAGCCUUCUGAAAGGAAGAUUAAUACAAGAUGGCAUCAUGAGUCCGCAUGUUCACAUGAUUAAAGGUAUUCCGGUAGACGAUGGGGAUGCGUUCCAUUAGAUAGUAGGCGGGGUAACGGCCCACCUAGUCUUCGAUGGAUAGGGGUUCUGAGAGGAAGGUCCCCCACAUUGGAACUGAGACACGGUCCAAACUCCUACGGGAGGCAGCAGUGAGGAAUAUUGGUCAAUGGGCGAGAGCCUGAACCAGCCAAGUAGCGUGAAGGAUGACUGCCCUAUGGGUUGUAAACUUCUUUUAUAAAGGAAUAAAGUCGGGUAUGGAUACCCGUUUGCAUGUACUUUAUGAAUAAGGAUCGGCUAACUCCGUGCCAGCAGCCGCGGUAAUACGGAGGAUCCGAGCGUUAUCCGGAUUUAUUGGGUUUAAAGGGAGCGUAGAUGGAUGUUUAAGUCAGUUGUGAAAGUUUGCGGCUCAACCGUAAAAUUGCAGUUGAUACUGGAUAUCUUGAGUGCAGUUGAGGCAGGCGGAAUUCGUGGUGUAGCGGUGAAAUGCUUAGAUAUCACGAAGAACUCCGAUUGCGAAGGCAGCCUGCUAAGCUGCAACUGACAUUGAGGCUCGAAAGUGUGGGUAUCAAACAGGAUUAGAUACCCUGGUAGUCCACACGGUAAACGAUGAAUACUCGCUGUUUGCGAUAUACUGCAAGCGGCCAAGCGAAAGCGUUAAGUAUUCCACCUGGGGAGUACGCCGGCAACGGUGAAACUCAAAGGAAUUGACGGGGGCCCGCACAAGCGGAGGAACAUGUGGUUUAAUUCGAUGAUACGCGAGGAACCUUACCCGGGCUUAAAUUGCGGAUGAAUUACGGUGAAAGCCGUAAGCCGCAAGGCAUCUGUGAAGGUGCUGCAUGGUUGUCGUCAGCUCGUGCCGUGAGGUGUCGGCUUAAGUGCCAUAACGAGCGCAACCCUUGUUGUCAGUUACUAACAGGUUCCGCUGAGGACUCUGACAAGACUGCCAUCGUAAGAUGUGAGGAAGGUGGGGAUGACGUCAAAUCAGCACGGCCCUUACGUCCGGGGCUACACACGUGUUACAAUGGGGGGUACAGAGGGCCGCUACCACGCGAGUGGAUGCCAAUCCCCAAAACCUCUCUCAGUUCGGACUGGAGUCUGCAACCCGACUCCACGAAGCUGGAUUCGCUAGUAAUCGCGCAUCAGCCACGGCGCGGUGAAUACGUUCCCGGGCCUUGUACACACCGCCCGUCAAGCCAUGGGAGCCGGGGGUACCUGAAGUGCGUAACCGCGAGGAGCGCCCUAGGGUAAAACUGGUGACUGG
rnacentral:rRNA from 1 species